rnacentral:sRNA from 1 species
GAACUGUUAGGACCCAGGGAAAAUGUGGCAAUGCCAAUGCAGGUACAGAACACACAGAAAUCCAGAUUGACUGCUGGGGACCCUGAUGUCACGGCAGAUGAGACUCAGCUGCUUCCUGUCAGAUGGGGAAUGCCCGUGUGCAGGAGGGAGGGAGUGCUGCGCCCGCUGCAGUGUUGGGGCCGGUUCUCCACAGGAAGGGCCCAGCCAUUGCCAGAGCCUGGGCAGAAAAGAGGACAGGCAAGCAAAGGGCCCACCUGUGACUGAGUUGGGGUCUCUGGCCUGUGAGCCCCACCCCAGCCCCCACCAUGUGUGUGGACCUGCUUGGCCCCUGCUGCGGCCAGGCCCCAGGGCUUCGUCGAGAAGGCCCCACCAGCACCAGAGGACUGAGGAGAUGCCAGGAGGGUAUAGUGGCUCUGUGGGGCCAGCAGCCUGGCCCCAUUCAUCUGCCUCUCUGUCCUUCCACACAGCCCGGCCACACCUGUGCAGCUCAGGGCCCUGCCGGAACGGGGGCACGUGCAAGGAAGCGGGCGGCGAGUACCACUGCAGCUGCCCCUACCGCUUCACUGGGAGGCACUGUGAGAUCGGGAAGCCAGACUCGUGUGCCUCUGGCCCCUGUCACAACGGCGGCACCUGCUUCCACUACAUUGGCAAAUACAAGUGUGACUGUCCCCCAGGCUUCUCCGGGCGGCACUGCGAGAUAGGUAAGGUGGGUGGGAGGCCAGGCCAGGGCGGCCAGGGGUGAACCCUCUCUGCACAUGUGAAAACAGGCCCAUGGGCAGGGCUGGUCCAGGCCCUGGAGGCGCAGGAGGUGGAGCUGGGUGCAGGAGGCAGGAUGCCCCACGCAGUCCCGAGCCUUCAGGGAAGACACAGUGGCCAGGACCUUCCUGCAUUCUGGCAGCCCCCUCCCCCUGCUUCCGGAGCCCAUGUGUGAAUGGGGG